rnacentral:rRNA from 1 species
GACGAACGCUGGCGGCGUGCCUAAUACAUGCAAGUUGAGCGAUGAAGCUUGGUGCUUGCUCCAAUUUGAAUAGCAGCGAACGGGUGAGUAACGCGUGGGGAAUCUGCCUAUGAGCGGGGGACAACAUUUGGAAACGAAUGCUAAUACCGCAUAAUAACUUUAAACAUAUGUUUUAAGUUUGAAAGAUGCAAUUGCAUCACUCUAAGAUUAUCCCGCGUUGUAUUAGCCAGUUGGUGAGGUAAAGGCUCACCAAGGCGAUGAUACAUAGCCGACCUGAGAGGGUGAUCGGCCACAAUGGGAAUGAGAAAAGGCCCAAGAUCCUACGGGAGGCAGCAGUAGGGAAUCUUCGGCCAUGGACGAAAGUCUGACCGAGCAACGCCGCGUGAGUGAAGAAGGUUUUCGGAUCGUAAAACUCUGUUGGUAGGGAAGAACGUUGGUGAGAGUGGAAAGCUCAUCAAGUGACGGUAACUACUCAGAAAGGGACGGCUAACUACGUG